rnacentral:misc_RNA from 1 species
CCUGUUUCUAUUCGCAUACGAUACAGAUUAUCUUGUGAAAGUAAACGUUUCGCCCACGCGCACGAAAAUAUAUGGGCUACACGAAACAAUCAGUAUUCAUAUUUUUUUCAAACUAUGAAAAUACGAGCAUGUAGUACAUCUAUGCGAUUAAAAUUUUCAUUCGUUUCAUUUGUGCAAUAUAUAAGUUUAUUCAAGUUACUUACAGUCACACACGAAUCAAACGCUUCGAAUGCAGCGGUAGUUCACUUGUUUACUCAUUUAAACAUCCUGAAAUCUCCCGCGUUUCAUUUGGUAAUGUAAUAAAAAAUAGAAGAUAGGUAACACGCAUUUGUUCAUAAGCGAUAUCUGGCGGUGAUGUCCGGAGAUAGACGAACGCAAAUAGCGCAUGCGCAUAGGUCAUCGUAUAUCGUCCCGCCUGCGGACGAACCGAAAUAAAUCGAACGACGCCGAGGCGAUCAGCAGUACGGUGCUCGCUGGAUGCGACUGUUUCGCGUUAGUGAUGAUCAAAACGAGUUGUCGUCGUCGUUGUUUGUGGCAUUUCGCGAAGACGAAGAAGCCGUGAUCCGUGAUCAAAAGCUCGAGACGGAGAAGAGGCCGAGGACACACAUCGUCGCUCGUUGCCGCGGCCACGGAUGCAUAUGGAGAGUGACUCUCACGCGUCAGAAAUAAUACAGCAGGAAGUGUGUCCGGCGAUUGUGUCACACAGGCUGUUAAUUCCGCGCGCUGCCAUAAGCCUGAAAAGUGAAGUACAUAGUACCGUUAUCGCAAGGCCACGACGAAUCAUUGUUUCGAUUGAUUCAAGCUGAGAAAGAAAGAGAACGAGGAGGACGGAAAGAAAGAGAAAGAGAGGGAACGUAGGCGAAGAAAAGGACGUGACGAAGAAGGAUUGAAGAAGGAAAAAAGAGGAAGGAGAGGAGGAUACGGGUUAAAGCCGCAGAAAGCGUCUGGCUCUCUAAUCCAAAUAAGAG